rnacentral:rRNA from 1 species
AAUGAACGCUGGCGGCAGGCUUAACACAUGCAAGUCGAACGAGUGGCGGGCGGGUGAGUAAUGUUUGGGAAUCUCGCUCAUGGAGGGGAUUAACUUCGGGAAACUGUACUAAAUACCGCGUACUAUAGGAUGAUCCCAAGGGGGCUUAGGUGGUUGGUGGGGUAAAGGCUCACCAAGACGUCGAUGUCUAGCUGGUCUGAGAGGAUGACCGGCCACACUGGGACUGAGACACGGCCCAGACUCCUACGGGAGGCAGCAGUGGGGAAUAUUGCGCAAUGGGGGCAACCUGACGCAGCCAUGCCGCGUGAAUGAAGAAGGCCUUCGGGUUGUAAAGUUCUUUCGGUAGCGAGGCGUUAACUACAGAAGAAGCACCGGCUAACUCCGUGCCAGCAGCCGCGGUAAUAC